rnacentral:lncRNA from 1 species
CAUUUAGAUGCUUUCUAUUCCAAUUCAUUCCUUAAGUUGGUUUUGUGUCUGUACAGUCAGCAGAUAUUAAUCAUACAUGUAACUCCAGAAUAGUGUUGUUGGUGCAGUUACAGAAUCAGUAAGGAACAUUCGCUAGGUCAUUGAGCUUUGAAUACUUAAAGUCUAACAAAUAAGGAAAUGUGAAUUACACAGUAGUUGUGGUAGGAGGACUUGUUUUGGUUUCUCUUGGUUUUAUCAGUCUGGUUUUUAUUUUGUGUAGGUGAAGAGGGAGGCACCUACUUCAUGGAAGGAGGUUAGGUCUUUGAGGUAGACAAGGCUUUAAUCUUGAAGACUGCUCUGUGGGCUUGAGCAGUCGGGGUAACUUUACUUGGGUUAGUCACACAGGCUCUGCACUUUGGUCACAUAAGUGCUUCUGUACAAAGUUGGCUCCGUGGAUCUGCGUAGUUAAAUAUGCAGUGCAGAUCUGUUCUAGGUUUGUCCGAUGUUCACAUGACUUAGGUCUCAGCCAAGUGCUUUAAAAUACUUGGGUUGCCUCAAGGUGUUCAAACCUACUAAGUAGACAGGCCAUUUGAGAUGGUAAAUUCUAGCCACAUGCAUAGACUCUUCAAUACGUGUCUCUAACAGUGUUAGACCUGGAUUCGGUUUCUACCUCCCCAAUGCUGUAAUGUUCACGUCUGUUUUCAUGAACCACAUUACUGUAAGAUCAUCACAAUUCUGCCGACUUCCUUGAAUGGAAAAGAACGACAAGCUCUUUACAACGCAAACAGGCCAAAGCCUGGCUUAGUGGGAUCCGCUCUUGGUGAGAGCAUUGUUAUGCGAUGAGACAGGUGCAGGCCUCCUGACUGCUUACCUCCUGAACGUCCAUCCAAGAGUGUGUGUCCUGUGCAAGCCCUGGAGAAGAAGACAGUGUUUGCUAGUCUGUUCCUGUUUUGAGAGUGCUUUCAAUGGAG